UCAGACGAUGGCGUCAUGCAUAUCAAUAAGCGGAGGAAAAGAAACUAACAAGGAUUCCCCUAGUAACGGCGAGUGAAGCGGGAAGAGCUCAAAUUUGAAAUCUUAAAGGGUUUCCCUUUACGAAUUGUAGUUUAAAGAAGUGUUUUCUGUUGAGGUUUUGGUAAAAGUUCUUUGGAAUAGGACAUCAUAGAGGGUGAGAAUCCCGUAUUUGACCUUUACUUUCAACUUUGUGAUACACUUUCAAAGAGUCGGAUUGUUUGGGAAUGCAGUCCAAAAUGGGUGGUAAAUUUCAUCUAAAGCUAAAUAUUGGCGAGAGACCGAUAGCGAACAAGUACCGUGAGGGAAAGAUGAAAAGAACUUUGAAAAGAGAGUUAAACAGUACGUGAAAUUGUCAAAAGGGAAGCGUUUGACACCAGUGUUGUUUUUCUGAAAAUCAAUUAAAGAACUGUUUAUGCUAAGCUGUUUAGACUUUAUCAGCCUAAUCUGUUUAGUUUUGAGCUUUUCUUUAAUGCACUUUUCAGUUAACAAGUCAACAUCAAUUUCUUUUGCUGUAAAAAAGCUUGAGGAAGGUGGCUUGAGAUUCGUCUUAAGUGUUUAUAGCCUCUUGCCUAUGCAGUCGGAGAGAUUGAGGUCUGCAGCGUAGAUCCUUCGGGGCUAAAUGCAUUUGUGCUAAGUUAUAGCAUUUUAUAGACAACUUGUUGACUAUGAUUUGUCUUGUAGCUUACUCGCUUAUGUUAUUUUACCUACGCUUAGGAUGUUGACACACGCGCGUGCUCG
rnacentral:rRNA from 1 species